rnacentral:rRNA from 1 species
CCUACGGGAGGCAGCAGUGGGGAAUAUUGGACAAUGGGCGAAAGCCUGAUCCAGCAAUGCCGCGUGAGUGAUGAAGGCCUUCGGGUCGUAAAGCUCUUUUACCAGGGAUGAUAAUGACAGUACCUGGAGAAUAAGCUCCGGCUAACUCCGUGCCAGCAGCCGCGGUAAUACGGAGGGAGCUAGCGUUGUUCGGAAUUACUGGGCGUAAAGAGUACGUAGGCGGUUAUUCAAGUCAGAGGUGAAAGCCCGGGGCUCAACCCCGGAACUGCCUUUGAAACUAGAUAACUAGAGUCUUGGAGAGGUUAGUGGAAUUCCGAGUGUAGAGGUGAAAUUCGUAGAUAUUCGGAAGAACACCAGUGGCGAAGGCGACUAACUGGACAAGUACUGACGCUGAGGUACGAAAGCGUGGGGAGCAAACAGGAUUAGAUACCCUGGUAGUCCACGCCGUAAACGAUGAUAACUAGUUNUUCGGUCACUUGGUGACUGAGUGACGCAGCUACGCAUUAAGUUAUCCGUCCGUCGGGUAGGUACGGUCGCGAGAAUUAAACUACAAUAGAAUUAGUACGGCGUGAGACGUGCCGACGGACGACGACGAGGGAGUAGG